UGUCCACAACCUCCUCUAUUCCUCUUGAGCCCUCCCACGCCGGCUGCCGCCCCUCGUCAGUCGUUGCCACUGUUUUGCGCGGCUACGACCUACCUCCAUCCCGGCGCGCCGCCCCUCACCACUCCCCUGCGGUCCUCUGUCCCGGUGCGCUGUCCCUCACCACCCCCUGUGAUCCUUUGUCCCGGCGCGCCGUCCCUCAUCACCACUCUUGUGCGACCCUGCAUCCAGGCGCGCCGCCCCUCGUCACCGCUCCCCUAAGACCAACGACGGAUCCAAGGUAUGGACACGCACACCAAGCCUGCCACCAAGUUUGAGAUUUUUUUUGACAAGCACACGCAACCGUAUCACUCGUUCCAUCCAGCAACAGUAGCAGCCGUGCCGGCCACUGGCGGAUCCAUGUUAGGUCGUGGGUGUACAUUUGUACAGCCAAUUUAUUUUGCAGGUAUAGUAGACAUGUAUUAAUAGCAGUGUCGGUGUUGUUUGAGCAAGGAACAUCACGUCAAUUCAUAUAACCUGGGCCUCAAACUCUACUCCAACAAGCAUCUUAGUUUAAAAGUAUCUCCUGCAAUUCCCAGUUGGUCCAUCGCCACUAGCUUGAUUCCCUUACGUUGAGCCCCAAAGCCUAAUACAAGGGUUGGUGUUGCUAGCUUCAUCACCUUGCUGGUACAGAAGGUCAUGAUUAACAUCAAGCCAUACACGGUGAUGUUACUGACAUUACUUUACACUCCUGUUCUGAAGGAAAGGAGUUCUGCAGCCAACAGGGCCUUUGCGUCUUCUUGUGCUGCAGUUCUCAAAUAUGCCAGCCAAUCUCAGGCUCAGAAACUUAUUAAAGACACUGCUUCUCUGCAUUUAGGUGAAAAACUUCUGAGUUAUCUGGUGCAGUUCUAUUAAAUCCUACUUAGCAAUGUAGCAGUUGUUAUUAGUGGAUACAAUGAAGUGGUUAUCCCUGUAAUUUUUCCUUCAAGGUAUGUGAACGACAUAUCUUAAGUCUUAAUCUUUCAUCUUGAGUUUUGAAACUAAUAUGUCAGCUAUUCGUGAUGUUAUUAAGUUCAUUAUCAUUAAAACUACGAAAACUGUUCCCUUUAGUCUACGUACUGGAUCUCAAAUAACAAAACUUCUUUCAGUUUUGAUGAUGAUAAAGAGACUAGCUUAGCCUCGUUUUCACCAGAUUAAGUUUGUUUCCAUGUCUGUUUUUGUUUCUUGCUGUUUAGUUUUGUUUAAAAUCUGGACAUACUGAAACAAUUCAAGAUUGCCAGGCAAAAAAAAGAGUCGAGAUUCAGGCUACUGUAGUGAUGGUUGAUACACUAGAAAAAAAUGAAUUUAAACCUUCACUACAACACUUGGUGAAUUAUCUGACUUCUAUGAACGAGACUCCUAAUCCAUCUAAGCACUGGCAAAUGUUCUUCAGGGUGGAAAAGCGUUGAUGAAUAUGGUGUCCGCCAAAGGUUUAUGGCCCUGUUUGACAGUAGGUUUUAUUGUUGUUCGUCUGCAUGCUCUUCGAUUCAAGCAGUCUUCUCGAUUACUGGAGAACACAAGGAUUAAGUCCUGCUUCCACUUAUGAUGUGGGAUGAAGGUUUUGUGUGUAGCUCUGACCAAACUACAACCCCUCCAAAGUCAGAUGCUGGCAUUUAAGUUCGUUCUUCAUCAGUUUUAAUGCCAAGUAUUCAUCAGUUUUAUGUAUCCAACCCGGUCAACUAAGUUCCAAGUCUUUUCAUCAGGUGAAUGGCAAGGGAUGUUGGGGUUCAUAUGAUUUACAUAUAGAUAAAAACUCAAUUUUUCCUCCCAUAGCAGUUACUUCCAUGUACUUCUAGAAUUAUGAAUAUCAUAUAAUUAGUUGAUCAGGCAGUACUAUUAUGAAAUACAAUCUACUGUAUAAAGUACUUAUUAACUAAAUUUAAUCUACUUCCUCUGAUUUAUGUCAAUGAUUUUUUUAAGAUGGUGCUACAUAUUUGUUCGUUGGUGAUGCCUCAACAAUCCGGCAUUUCCAAUAUGUUGGUGUCUGAUCGAGGUACAAGCAAAAUUUUGAUUGCUUUGUUUCAGCAGCCUCACUUAGGACUAUUAUCCUUUCAUCUUCCAUAUGGAGGGACUAUAAUACUAGUAUUUAUGAAGCUUUUUCAUAAUUACUUUAUGAGUUCUUUCAUUUCGAUCACAUAUAACUUUCAUUUUCACUAGCAGGUAGGAACUAAAGUAUUCUUGAAGAGCCUACAAAAUCAUAACGGAGAUGCAGUUCUUGCUACAGUUGUAAGUUGUAAUCCUAAAUUUAAACUUGAUGGUGCUGAACUUACAAAUGAAUAAUGGGAAGUGCAUGUCGAUACGGCACUUGUGAAAACUUAAGUCUUGGUACGAAUUCGCAAAAACUGCAAUAUUCGUGGUAAUGCAGAAAAACAAAGAUUGUACGGCCUUCAACCCUUUGUACGUUCAAAGGAUGAAUGGAUGAUAUGGGUAUGUGGCAAGUACACUGCAAUGAUGAUGAUGAUGUUCCUGUUCCUGAUGAUGAUGAUGAUGGAUGUUUUCAGUUUUAGUUUAGUUGUAGGGAUGUUCCUGUUAGAUGAUCUUCCUUGUUCAAGUGUUUAGUUGUAGUGAUGUUGUUGGAUGCUUUCAGUGUAAGUUUAGUUGUCAAAUAAUUAUGUAGAUUAUGCAUCACAUUUGGAUAAUGUUCCUCCUAUAAUAUGCACUCUUGUAAUCCAACGGUUUUAUCUAGUAUAUGAUUUAUUCCUCCUGAGAGUA